rnacentral:rRNA from 1 species
AGCAUACGCUUGUCUCAAAGAUUAAGCCAUGCAUGUCUAAGUAUAAACAAAUCUAUACUGUGAAACUGCGAAUGGCUCAUUAUAUCAGUUAUAGUUUAUUUGAUGGUCCUUGCUACUUGGAUAACCGUAGUAAUUCUAGAGCUAAUACAUGCAUCAAACCCUGACUUCUGGAAGGGGUGUAUUUAUUAGAUGGAAACCAAUGCGGGGCAACCCGGUAUAUGGUGAUUCAUAAUAACUUUCGGAUCGAUCUUUCGGAUCGAUGCAUCAUUCAAGUUUCUGCCCUAUCAGCUUUGGAUGGUAGGGUAUUGGCCUACCAUGGCUUUAACGGGUAACGGAGAAU